ensembl:lncRNA
AAAUAUCCGGUGCAUCACCUCACAGCCCUCCCUCCACCCAGCUCUUCUGCACCCCCUUUAAGUCCUGUGCCCGAAGCCCCCAGUGCUUUCAAGUCCUGUGCCCGGAUCUCCUUGUGUUUUUCCAAGUGAAGGAGCUCUGAAACUCAGGACCUGGGGUUUCAGAACCGCUCAGGAAUCCAUUCUUAGCACGCCUGCGACAUUCUGUGUGCCACCCUGAAACAGCCAGUCUACCCCAGUCACCCAACUUCAUGAUUUUUUUUUUAAUUUUUAUUUUUGGCAAGGGAUCCCUUUACGGGCUGCCAGGAAGUACAGUGUUCAUGGCUACCCACAGGCCCAGGGCUGUGCUUCAGUGCCGGAACUGUGCAGGCCAGACUGCUGAGUCUGCAGUUACGGCGUCUGUGCUUUUAUCUCGUUCUCCACUGCUUCCGCUCCUCCGUUUUGGAACACACGGGAUAAUAUGCUCUGGUCCCUUAAGGAUAUAGAGGAAGGAACCAUUUCCAUAUCCACUUGACUCAAGUCACCACAGUCAGCUGCUGGCUGAGCAAACUGACCUCAGAUGAGUCACAAUCCAGCUCACACAAGGUCACAGUUCAGCCAAACUCAGAAAGUCCAGUUGAGAGGUUGAUGUCUGUGCUCAAGAUGCCAGUGUAAGCAAGAGGGGUGGGGGUUGGGGGGAUCAAUGCUUGGUUCCAGCAACUUUCAGGCUCAGGAGACCACAGUGAGACCAUGGGGCCCCAGCCCGGAUGGGUGGCCAAGGGACAAGGCAAGAGCUGAUAGGGAUCAGGCAAAGUGCAGGGCUACUAAAUGGGGCCCUGAAAGGCUGCUAGGUUUCCAAAGCCAGAGCGCUUCCGGCCUAAAGGAGUGUGUGUGUGUGAAAUCUGGCCUCGGAGUGAAGCUUUAGGGUGAUAAACUAGAUCACAGAGGCCACAGGAGGGACCCAGGCAACUGUCACCGGACUGUGAGCCACCACUCAUGUCACCCCACACCUCCACUGCAUGUCACUGACCCAGACAUGUUAUCAGAAUUAAUCCUCACAGUCACCAGAGAAGAGAAGGACGCGCAGAUUUUUUCUGUCUUUUCCUGAAGUUUGGAACCAACUUAGUAAAAGCGUAUGUAAAAACAUCAAGAUCAUAA